AGUGAACGCUGGCGGUAGGCCUAACACAUGCAAGUCGAACGGCAGCACAGAGGAGCUUGCUCCUUGGGUGGCGAGUGGCGGACGGGUGAGGAAUACAUCGGAAUCUACUCUGUCGUGGGGGAUAACGUAGGGAAACUUACGCUAAUACCGCAUACGACCUACGGGUGAAAGCAGGGGACCUUCGGGCCUUGCGCGAUUGAAUGAGCCGAUGUCGGAUUAGCUAGUUGGCGGGGGAAAGGCCCACCAAGGCGACGAUCCGUCGCUGGUCUGAGAGGAUGAUCAGCCACGCUAGAACUGGGUCACGUUCCAGACUCCUACGGGAGGCAGCAGUGGGGAAUAUUGGACAAUGGGCGCAAGCCUGAUCCAGCCAUACCGCGUGGGUGAAGAAGGCCUUCGGGUUGUAAAGCCCUUUUGUUGGGAAAGAAAUCCAGCUGGCUAAUACCCGGUUGGGAUGACGGUACCCAAAGAAUAAGCACCGGCUAACUUCGUGCCAGCCGCCGCAGUAA
rnacentral:rRNA from 1 species